UUGAAUUGAAGAGUUUGAUCAUGGCUCAGAUUGAACGCUGGCGGCAGGCUUAACACAUGCAAGUCGAACGGUAGCAGGAGAAAGCUUGCUUUCUUGCUGACGAGUGGCGGACGGGUGAGUAAUGCUUGGGAAUCUGGCUUAUGGAG
rnacentral:rRNA from 1 species